GCAUUAGUGGUGUAGCGGUAACAUACUUGCCUUCCAUGCUCGUCUGCGAGCAAGUGCUCUGGGUUCGACUCCCAGCUAAUGCA
rnacentral:tRNA from 1 species